UAGAUCUCACUCCAGACCAUAUUAUGUACUCCUGAAUAACAGGCACGUAAACGUUUGCCUUAAAACACCCUGUGGCAACCGAAGUUGAUUGCAGUACGCCGGGUAAACGACACAGGACGUCAGGAGGGGGUCAGUGGCCGGUACGCUUUUAAUUUAGCGUGGGAUUUUGUCCUAUCCGGGCGAAAAGGGGAAGAGAAAAUUCAAUAACGCGACAAAAGCGUGAAGAUUUUCGCGUAAUUCUGUGUAAAAUGAUCAAGCUCACUAUCGGUGUGGGAAUAACAAGGAGAGAAAUUGAUGAGUGCCGAGUUAAAGCUUUCGUUAACCACUACAGUUGUUACCCUGGGUCUGAUCGUUGUCACUGGCCUGAUCGCCGUCCUGAACUAAGUU
rnacentral:sRNA from 1 species